UACGGGGGGAGCAAGCGUUGUUCGGAUUUACUGGGCGUAAAGGGCGCGUAGGCGGUCGUGACAAGUCACUUGUGAAAUCUCCGGGCUUAACUCGGAACGGUCAAGUGAUACUGUCGGACUAGAGUACAGAAGGGGCAACUGGAAUUCUCGGUGUAGCGGUGAAAUGCGUAGAUAUCGAGAGGAACACCUGCGGCGAAGGCGGGUUGCUGGGCUGACACUGACGCUGAUGCGCGAAAGCCAGGGAGCGAACGGG
rnacentral:rRNA from 1 species